GUGUCAGCCGCCGCGGUAAUACAGAGGUGGCAAGCGUUGUUCGGAAUUACUGGGCGUAAAGGGCGCGUAGGCGGUUUCGUAAGUCUUGUGUGAAAGCCCCCGGCUCAACUGGGGAACUGCACGGGAAACUGCGAGGCUUGAGUUCGGGAGAGGGAAGCGGAAUUCCGGGUGUAGCGGUGAAAUGCGUAGAUAUCCGGAGGAACACCGGUGGCGAAGGCGGCUUCCUGGACCGAUACUGACGCUGAGGCGCGAAAGCUAGGGGAGCAAACGGGAUUAGAAACCCCAGUAGUCC
rnacentral:rRNA from 1 species